UGGGGAAUCUUGGACAAUGGGGGCAACCCUGAUCCAGCCAUGCCGCGUGAGUGAUGAAGGCCUUAGGGUCGUAAAGCUCUUUCGCCUGUGAAGAUAAUGACGGUACCUAGUAAAGAAGUCCCGGCUAACUCCGUGCCAGCAGCCGCGGUAAUACGGAGGGGACUAGCGUUGUUCGGAAUUACUGGGCGUAAAGAGUUCGUAGGCGGACUAGCAAGUUAGAGGUGAAAUCCCAGGGCUCAACCUUGGAACUGCCUUUAAAACUGCUAGUCUAGAGACCGGAAGAGGUUAGGGGAAUACCUAGUGUAGAGGUGAAAUUCGUAGAUAUUAGGUGGAACACCAGUGGCGAAGGCGCCUAACUGGUCCGGUACUGACGCUGAGGAACGAAAGCGUGGGGAGC
rnacentral:rRNA from 1 species